UACAUGCAAGUCGAGCGACAGAUGAAGUGCUUGCACUUCUGACGUUAGCGGCGAACGGGUGAGUAACACGUAAGGAAUCUACCUAUAAGCGGGGGAUAACAUUCGGAAACGGGUGCUAAUACCGCAUAAUAUCUUCUUCCGCAUGGAAGAAGAUUGAAAGACGGCUCUGCUGUCACUUAUAGAUGACCUUGCGGUGCAUUAGUUAGUUGGUGGGGUAACGGCCUACCAAGACGAUGAUGCAUAGCCGACCUGAGAGGGUGAUCGGCCACAUUGGGACUGAGACACGGCCCAAACUCCUACGGGAGGCAGCAGUAGGGAAUCUUCCGCAAUGGGCGAAAGCCUGACGGAGCAAUGCCGCGUGAGUGAAGAAGGCCUUCGGGUCGUAAAACUCUGUUAUAAGAGAAGAACAAAUUGUAGAGUAACUGCUACAGUCUUGACGGUAUCUUAUCAGAAAGCCACGGCUAACUACGUGCCAGCAGCCGCGGUAAUACGUAGGUGGCAAGCGUUGUCCGGAUUUAUUGGGCGUAAAGGGAGCGCAGGUGGUUUCUUAAGUCUGAUGUGAAAGCCCACGGCUUAACCGUGGAGGGUCAUUGGAAACUGGGAAACUUGAGUACAGAAGAGGAAUGUGGAACUCCAUGUGUAGCGGUGGAAUGCGUAGAUAUAUGGAAGAACACCAGUGGCGAAGGCGACAUUCUGGUCUGUUACUGACACUGAGGCUCGAAAGCGUGGGGAGCAAACAGGAUUAGAUACCCUGGUAGUCCACGCCGUAAACGAUGAGUGCUA
rnacentral:rRNA from 1 species